CAAGACGAAAACGUCUUGCAAGUUUGUUUCCUUUUUCGUAAAACCGUUAAAACCCAGGGUGCAUUGCUGGAAGAGGUGCAGUUGCGACUUGACCUCGAGGAGCAACACAUUGCACGCGGUGUGGUGGCCUUUCUGAGCUUUUUAAAGAGUUUGCUGGAUUUUGAAGCUUUUCCAAAACUUCUUCUGCAGCUGUUUGGUAAGUUAAACUUUUGAAACUUUUUUGGGGUUUUUUGGAUUUUGGGUUGGGGUGUUUAGAAUUCAAGGACUUGGUGUUGGGGAGGGGUUUGCAAGAAUCUGGGAGCUUGUGUGGUUUUUUUUGAAUUUUUAUGAUUUUUUGUGACCAUUGGGCCAUGUUUUUUUUUUUGAAAAAAAUUUCUGGGUUUUAAAUUUCUGUGUGCUGGGUGGCUGGGGGAACAGCUGGAGAGGUGUUUGCAAGAAUCUGGGAGCUUGUGUGCUUGUUUUUGAAUUUUUAUGAUUUUUUGUGACCAUUGGGCCAUGUUGUUCUUUUUUGAAAAAAAAUUCUGGGUUUUAAAUUUCUGUGUGCUGGGUGGAUGGGGGAACAGCUGGGGAGGGGUUUGCAAGAAUCUGGGAGCUUGUGUGCUUUUUUUUGAAUUUUUAUGAUUUUUUUGUGACCAUUGGGCCAUGUUGUUGUUUUUUGAAAAAAUUUUCUGGGUUUUAAAUUUCUGUGUGCUGGGUGGAUGGGGGAACAGCUGGGGAGGUGUUUGCAAGAAUCUGGGAGCUUGUGUGCUUUUUUUUGAAUUUUUAUGAUUUUUUGUGACCAUUGGGCCAUGUUGGGUUUUUUUGAAAAAAAUUUCUGGGUUUUAAAUUUCUGUGUGCUGGGUGGCUGGGGGAACAGCUGGGGAGGGGUUUGCAACAGUUGGGGAGGGGUUUGCAACAGUUGGGGAGGGGCUGGGGGACCAGUUGAGGUUUUUGAAGACUUUGGUGAUUUUUAAAGCUUUCCCAAAACUUCUUUUGCAGCCAUUUGAGGAUUUUGAAGACUUUGGUGAUUUGCAGCCAUUUCGUAAGUUAAACUUUUAAAACUUUUUUUGGGGUUUUUGGAUUUUGGGUUGGGUGUUUGGAAUUCAAGGACUUGGUUGUGGGUUUGAAAUGCUGAUUUUUUUUUUCUUUUUCUGAGUUUACAAAGGUAACAGCUGUGCUGCCAUGGGACCCAAGAAGGCUGCUGCUGCGGAGGCCGGCGAGAGGAAGAAGGAGAAGGUGACGCUGGAGAUGAAGAAGGAGAUCAUCCGGAAGCACGACGGUGGAAUGCGUGUGACGGACCUCGCCAGGGAGUACGGCAGGAACCCAUCGACCAUCGGGACCAUCCUGAAGAUGAGGGAGAAGAUCCUUGCGACUGAUGCAGCCAAGGGAGUCACCAGGAUCGUGAAGAACCGCCCAGCUGUUCUGGAGGAGGUCGAGAAGUUGCUGCUCAUCUGGUUAGAAGAGAAGCAGCGUGCAGGGG